GAUGAACGCUAGCGGCAGGCCUAACACAUGCAAGUCGAGGGGCAGCAGGAUUAAGCUUGCUUAAUUGCUGACGACCGGCGCACGGGUGCGUAACGCGUAUGCAACCUACCUGAUACUGGGGUAUAGCCCGGAGAAAUUCGGAUUAAUCCCCCAUAGUACUAAUGAAUCGCAUGGUUUAUUAGUUAAAGCAUUGCGGUAUAAGAUGGGCAUGCGUGCUAUUAGCUAGAUGGUGAGGUAACGGCUCACCAUGGCUACGAUAGGUAGGGGGCCUGAGAGGGUGGUCCCCCACACUGGUACUGAGACACGGACCAGACUCCUACGGGAGGCAGCAGUGAGGAAUAUUGGUCAAUGGGCGCAAGCCUGAACCAGCCACGCCGCGUGCAGGAAGAAUGCCCUAUGGGUUGUAAACUGCUUUUAUUUGGGAAUAAACCUCUUUACGUGUAGAGAGCUGAAGGUACCAAAUGAAUAAGCACCGGCUAACUCCGUGCCAGCAGCCGCGGUAA
rnacentral:rRNA from 1 species